rnacentral:rRNA from 1 species
CCUACGGGAGGCAGCAGUGAGGAAUAUUGGUCAAUGGCCGCAAGUCUGAACCAGCCAAGUCGCGUGAGGGAUGACGGUCCUAUGGAUUGUAAACCUCUUUUGUCAGGGAGCAAAGGGCGCCACGUGUGGCGCUUUGCGUGUACCUGAACAAAAAGCAUCGGCUCACUCCGCGCCAGCAGCCGCGCUAAUACGGAGGAGGCGAGGGUUAUCCGGGUUUAUGGGGGUAAAAGGGGGGGCGGGCGGAAUGUCAAGUCAGUGGUAAAAUGUUGGGUGUCAAGCCCGUCGUGCCGUUGAAACUGGCGUUCUUGAGUGAGUGAGAAGUAGGCGGAAUUCGUGGUGUAGCGGUGAAAUGCAUAGAUAUCACGAAGAACUCCGAUCGCGAAGGCAGCAGACCGGCGCUCAACUGACGCUCAGGCACGAAAGCGUGGGUAUCGAACAGGAUUAGAUACCCUUGUAGUC